rnacentral:rRNA from 1 species
UUUAUACUAUGAAGAGUUUGAUCCUGGCUCAGGAUGAACGCUAGCGGCAGGCUUAACACAUGCAAGUCGAGGGGCAGCACGAGUAGCAAUAUUUGGUGGCGACCGGCGCACGGGUGAGUAACGCGUAUGUAAUCUACCUUUAACUGGGGCAUAGCUCCGAGAAAUCGGAAUUAAUUCCCCAUAAUAUUGAUGAAAGACAUCUUUUAUUUAUUAAAGUUCCAACGGUUAGAGAUGAGCAUGCGUGCCAUUAGCUUGUUGGUAGGGUAACGGCCUACCAAGGCUACGAUGGCUAGGGGGUCUGAGAGGAUGAUCCCCCACACUGGUACUGAGACACGGACCAGACUCCUACGGGAGGCAGCAGUGAGGAAUAUUGGUCAAUGGGCGCAAGCCUGAACCAGCCAUGCCGCGUGAAGGACGAAUGUCCUAUGGAUUGUAAACUUCUUUUGUACGGGACGAAACUUUUGCACGUGUGCGAAAUUGACGGUACUGUACGAAUAAGCAUCGGCUAACUCCGUGCCAGCAGCCGCGGUAAUACGGAGGAUGCAAGCGUUAUCCGGAUUUAUUGGGUUUAAAGGGUGCGUAGGCGGAAUAGCAAGUCAGUGGUGAAAUCCUACAGCUUAACUGUAGAACUGCCAUUGAUACUGUUAUUCUUGAGUAUAGUU